rnacentral:tRNA from 2 species
AGCCCUAUAUUCAAUGAUGAUAUAAAAUUGCAAAUUUUAAGGAGUAAUUUAAUUUUACUAAGGCUU